AUAGACAGCCAUAGCACCCUGAGAACGGCCCCUCCCAUCUGAUCUGGGAAGCUAAGCAGGGUCAGCCCCGGUCAGCGCUUGGAUGGGAGACCAGAAGGGUCCAGACAGAUUCUC
rnacentral:rRNA from 1 species